rnacentral:rRNA from 1 species
AAAUUGAAGAGUUUGAUCAUGGCUCAGAUUGAACGCUGGCGGCAGGCCUAACACAUGCAAGUCGAGCGGUAGCACAGAGAGCUUGCUCUCGGGUGACGAGCGGCGGACGGGUGAGUAAUGUCUGGGAAACUGCCUGAUGGAGGGGGAUAACUACUGGAAACGGUAGCUAAUACCGCAUAAUGUCGCAAGACCAAAGUGGGGGACCUUCGGGCCUCAUGCCAUCAGAUGUGCCCAGAUGGGAUUAGCUAGUAGGUGGGGUAACGGCUCACCUAGGCGACGAUCCCUAGCUGGUCUGAGAGGAUGACCAGCCACACUGGAACUGAGACACGGUCCAGACUCCUACGGGAGGCAGCAGUGGGGAAUAUUGCACAAUGGGCGCAAGCCUGAUGCAGCCAUGCCGCGUGUGUGAAGAAGGCCUUCGGGUUGUAAAGCACUUUCAGCGGGGAGGAAGGCGAUAAGGUUAAUAACCUUGUCGAUUGACGUUACCCGCAGAAGAAGCACCGGCUAACUCCGUGCCAGCAGCCGCGGUAAUACGGAGGGUGCAAGCGUUAAUCGGAAUUACUGGGCGUAAAGCGCACGCAGGCGGUCUGUCAAGUCGGAUGUGAAAUCCCCGGGCUUAACCUGGGAACUGCAUUCGAAACUGGCAGGCUAGAGUCUUGUAGAGGGGGGUAGAAUUCCAGGUGUAGCGGUGAAAUGCGUAGAGAUCUGGAGGAAUACCGGUGGCGAAGGCGGCCCCCUGGACAAAGACUGACGCUCAGGUGCGAAAGCGUGGGGAGCAAACAGGAUUAGAUACCCUGGUAGUCCACGCCGUAAACGAUGUCGAUUUGGAGGUUGUGCCCUUGAGGCGUGGCUUCCGGAGCUAACGCGUUAAAUCGACCGCCUGGGGAGUACGGCCGCAAGGUUAAAACUCAAAUGAAUUGACGGGGGCCCGCACAAGCGGUGGAGCAUGUGGUUUAAUUCGAUGCAACGCGAAGAACCUUACCUGGUCUUGACAUCCACAGAACUUUCCAGAGAUGGAUUGGUGCCUUCGGGAACUGUGAGACAGGUGCUGCAUGGCUGUCGUCAGCUCGUGUUGUGAAAUGUUGGGUUAAGUCCCGCAACGAGCGCAACCCUUAUCCUUUGUUGCCAGCGGUUAGGCCGUGAACUCAACGGAGACUGCCAGUGAUAAACUGGAGGAAGGUGCGGAUGACGUCAAGGCAUCCUGGCUCUUACGAGCGGGGUUACACACGUGCUACAAUGGCAUAUACAAAGAGAAGCGACCUCGCGAGAGCAAGCGGACCUCAUAAAGUAUGUCGUAGUCCGGAUUGGAGUCUGCAACUCGACUCCAUGAAGUCGGAAUCGCUAGUAAUCGUAGAUCAGAAUGCUACGGUGAAUACGUUCCCGGGCCUUGUACACACCGCCCGUCACACCAUGGGAGUGGGUUGCAAAAGAAGUAGGUAGCUUAACCUUCGGGAGGGCGCUUACCACUUUGUGNUUCAUGACUGGGGUGAAGUCGUAACAAGGUAACCGUAGGGGAACCUGCGGUUGGAUCACCUCCUUACCUUAAAGAA